GACAGAGGGUGCAAACGUUGUUCGGAAUUACUGGGCGUAAAGCGCGUGUAGGCGGCAGGGCAAGUCGGAUGUGAAAUCCCGUGGCUCAACCACGGAAGUGCACCCGAAACUGCCCAGCUAGAGUCUCGGAGAGGAAGGUGGAAUGCUUGGUGUAGAGGUGAAAUUCGUAGAUAUCAAGCGGAACACCGGUGGCGAAGGCGGCCUUCUGGACGAUGACUGACGCUGAGACGCGAAAGCGUGGGGAGCAAACAGGAUGAAGAAACCCU
rnacentral:rRNA from 1 species